ACCAGGGUAGUUGAGCACCAACAUCAGGCCGUGACCCUGAAAACAGAACCUACCUACUUCUCCUUGGUC
rnacentral:tRNA from 1 species